rnacentral:lncRNA from 1 species
UCGGGUUUUCCAGCAAAGGUUUUUAACGAGGCAGCUUAUGCACAUAAAUAUUUAAACAACACAAUAAUAUUUCGUCCAAGGAGGAGUGUUGUGACACGUGGACUCAACCAAUAGAAACAAUUCUAUACACAUGCUACAAGAGCCCUUAACGUGAUCUUCAAGUGCAUGAAAUGUAUAUUAUUAUAUUAAUAGGUGUAUUAAUUUGAAGUGAU